GCAAGGAAGAUAUGUAUUUGUAUGAUUAUCAAUGAAAAUAAAACAUACAUUUAUCCUCUAAGAAGUUCAGAGCAG